UACGUAGGGUGCGAGCGUUGUCCGGAAUUACUGGGCGUAAAGAGCUCGUAGGUGGUUUGUCGCGUUGUUCGUGAAAUCUCACGGCUUAACUGUGAGCGUGCGGGCGAUACGGGCAGACUGGAGUACUGCAGGGGAGACUGGAAUUCCUGGUGUAGCGGUGGAAUGCGCAGAUAUCAGGAGGAACACCCAUGGCGAAGGCAGCAAACUGGGCAUUAUCUGACGCUGAGGCGCGAAAGCGUGGGUAGCAAACAGG
rnacentral:rRNA from 1 species